GUGCUCGCUUCAGCAGCACAUAUACUAAAACUGGCACAACACAGAGAAGAUUAGCAUGGCCCUGCGCAAGGGUGACGCAAAUUCGUGAGGUGUUGCAUAUUUUA